rnacentral:rRNA from 1 species
UACGGAGGGGGCUAGCGUUGUUCGGAAUUACUGGGCGUAAAGCGCACGUAGGCGGCUUUGUAAGUUAGAGGUGAAAGCCCAGGGCUCAACCCUGGAAUUGCCUUUAAGACUGCAUCGCUUGAAUCAUGGAGAGGUGAGUGGAAUUCCGAGUGUAGAGGUGAAAUUCGUAGAUAUUCGGAAGAACACCAGUGGCGAAGGCGACUCACUGGACAUGUAUUGACGCUGAGGUGGCGAAAAGCGUCGGGGAGCAAACAGG